AACUUUAUGGUGUAAAGAACACAUAAGAUUUUCGUUCUUAAAUUUUAAAGUUA
rnacentral:tRNA from 1 species